GAUGAACGCUGGCGGCGUGCCUAAUACAUGCAAGUCGAGCGAACAGACGAGGAGCUUGCUCCUCUGACGUUAGCGGCGGGCGGGUGAGUAACACGUGGAUAACCUACCUAUAAGACUGGGAUAACUUCGGGAAACCGGAGCUAAUACCGGAUAAUAUAUUGAACCGCAUGGUUCAAUAGUGAAAGACGGUUUUGCUGUCACUUAUAGAUGGAUCCGCGCCGCAUUAGCUAGUUGGUAAGGUAACGGCUUACCAAGGCGACGAUGCGUAGCCAACAUGAGAGGGUGAUCGGCCACACUGGAACUGAGACACGGUCCAGACUCCUACGGGAGGCAGCAGUAGGGAAUCUGCCGCAAUGGGCGAAAGCCUGACGGAGCAACGCCGCGUGAGUGAUGAAGGUCUUCGGAUCGUAAAACUCUGUUAUUAGGGAAGAACAAAUGUGUAAGUAACUAUGCACGUCUUGACGGUACCUAAUCAGAAAGCCACGGCUAACUACGUG
rnacentral:rRNA from 1 species